UAGGGCAUGUGACUUUGCUGGGUUCGCGUACCUUAUACGGUUUUCUUUCCAUUCUCUGUCUAUUUGAGCUCUAAGAACUAUGUUCUAUCACCAAUUCGGUGAUCUGUAGGUUCUGUCAAGUUUCACUUUGUGUAGAGGGUACUGUUAGGGCACUCCAGUAGGUCGUGCUGCUCAACUUCAAGAUGUGGUUGAGGAAAUACCUCUGGAGCAAGAGCUGGAGGAGAUCGAUGCUGCUG
rnacentral:sRNA from 1 species